UGGCGGCGUGCUUAACACAUGCAAGUCGAACGAUGAAGCCCUUCGGGGUGGAUUAGUGGCGAACGGGUGAGUAACACGUGGGCAAUCUGCCCUUCACUCUGGGACAAGCCCUGGAAACGGGGUCUAAUACCGGAUACCACUCCUGCCCGCAUGGGCGGGGGUUGAAAGCUCCGGCGGUGAAGGAUGAGCCCGCGGCCUAUCAGCUUGUUGGUGGGGUAAUGGCCCACCAAGGCGACGACGGGUAGCCGGCCUGAGAGGGCGACCGGCCACACUGGGACUGAGACACGGCCCAGACUCCUACGGGAGGCAGCAGUGGGGAAUAUUGCACAAUGGGCGAAAGCCUGAUGCAGCGACGCCGCGUGAGGGAUGACGGCCUUCGGGUUGUAAACCUCUUUCAGCAGGGAAGAAGCGAAAGUGACGGUACCUGCAGAAGAAGCGCCGGCUAACUACGUGCCAGCAGCCGCGGUAAUACGUAGGGCGCAAGCGUUGUCCGGAAUUAUUGGGCGUAAAGAGCUCGUAGGCGGCUUGUCACGUCGGAUGUGAAAGCCCGAGGCUUAACCUCGGGUCUGCAUUCGAUACGGGCUAGCUAGAGUGUGGUAGGGGAGAUCGGAAUUCCUGGUGUAGCGGUGAAAUGCGCAGAUAUCAGGAGGAACACCGGUGGCGAAGGCGGAUCUCUGGGCCAUUACUGACGCUGAGGAGCGAAAGCGUGGGGAGCGAACAGGAUUAGAUACCCUGGUAGUCCACGCCGUAAACGUUGGGAACUAGGUGUUGGCGACAUUCCACGUCGUCGGUGCCGCAGCUAACGCA
rnacentral:rRNA from 1 species